GACGAACGCUGGCGGCGUGCCUAAUACAUGCAAGUAGAACGCUGAAGGAGGAGCUUGCUUCUCUGGAUGAGUUGCGAACGGGUGAGUAACGCGUAGGUAACCUGCCUGGUAGCGGGGGAUAACUAUUGGAAACGAUAGCUAAUACCGCAUAAGAGUAGAUGUUGCAUGACAUUUGCUUAAAAGGUGCAAUUGCAUCACUACCAGAUGGACCUGCGUUGUAUUAGCUAGUUGGUGAGGUAACGGCUCACCAAGGCGACGAUACAUAGCCGACCUGAGAGGGUGAUCGGCCACACUGGGACUGAGACACGGCCCAGACUCCUACGGGAGGCAGCAGUAGGGAAUCUUCGGCAAUGGACGGAAGUCUGACCGAGCAACGCCGCGUGAGGGAAGAAGGUUUUCGGAUCGGAAAGCUCUGUUGUAAGAGAAGAACGAGUGUGAGAGUGGAAAGUUCACACUGUGACGGUAUCUUACCAGAAAGGGACGGCUAACUACGUG
rnacentral:rRNA from 1 species